UCUUUCACACACAGGUCAACCUGUCCUGAGCAGCAGCAAUGCACCUGUUUGUUUUUUCCAGCCUUGUCGGUAACAAAGCCUCUUUCUUCCCUCUGCUUCACACCCUGCUGAGACGGCCUGUGCUUUAUGGCCCUUAAUGAGGGCCGCGCUUUCCUUGUGCAGCUCACAGCCUGCCGUUUUACUGUCUCUGACAAGGGCCCCAUUGUGUGGCGGCAGAUAAACAGUGGUUAUCGCAGAACAAGUCGUAAUUACUUUCACCCUGCAAUCCAGCUAUCUAGCGCUAACCACAUCCACACUCUCUUUCUCUCUCUCUCUCUCACUCACACACACACACUCACCUUAUCUUGUUCCUAGUCAUGGGAAGUCAUGACUUUGAAACCCUUCUUCUGUCUUUAGUCAUGUUACCCAUUCCUAAAUUGUCACUUCUCUCCCCCAUGUUCUUCUCUCUGAUCUCUCAGCACUAGGUGUUUGCAGGCGAGAGAGUGUUUACCUGGGACACUCAUUUUCAUUAAUGUGCAUAUCCUGGUAAACUGUGUCCAUGAAAACAAUUCAUUUUCCAGGAAAUAAACAAGUUAAUUCAAGGCGGACAUGUUGCUGAUGGUCCUGUGAUCUAACGAGCCAAGGAGAGGACAACCUUAUGGGGACUCAACGCUGUGACCUUGGCUCUUCAGUCACCUUGGUUGGAUGUCUUCAGCUGAAUAUUUUAAGAGUUUGGUUCCGAAACGCUAUAAAUCCAUUUUUGAAAAAAAUCAGUCAUGUUAUGUAUUUCAGGUAAUAUUAAUAAAAUUG